CUCAGAGGAGGAGCCUAUGAGAAGCAUCAAGGAGGAAUCAGCACUGCAAAGGAAGGAAGAUCCUGGGCAUGAUUCUGAGCCUUGUGGACUAGGCUUGGCUGUACAGGCACUCAGUUCACCAACCCAGCCUGGGCUGUAUGGUACUAAUUAAUUCUAAAGAAGGCUAGGUGGAUUUCAGAUAAUUUGGAAGGCAUUUGCUGUUGUGCUUUUUCUGUACUGUGCUUUACUGAUUCUACAGAGCAAUCUCACUGUGUCGGGUGCAGCACCAAAUGAAUCUCUCCCAUCUGGAUAAAUUACGCCCAUCACUUCACUUUUGACUCUCUGUUGAGAAAUGUAUUGAGAGGACUUGCUGCACAUUUGACAGACAUGACAUGAAUCCGGCUGCCUCUCCUCCCUCAGAUGGCCAUUUCUGCAUGUUGCAUAACCCCAUCCUGUAUUAAUGUUUCCAAUAUCCUUCUGUGGCUGCAGCUGGUAUUACUGGUGAAUGGACUCCUAAAUCCUCCCUUGACUUAAAAAAGAAAAAAAAAUUGUUUUGUUUUGGUUUCAGAUACUAUUAUUUUUAAAAGGUAAAGUUUUGGAGUAGUUACUUUCUAGGCAUCUCCAGAUACACCAUCCUCAGGAAGCUAUCAAGCAGUAUUACUAAAGGUUUGCCAAUUUCCCUUGCUAUUUCCUUCCAAAUUCAGAGAUGCAGUUAAUCUAAGUCUCAGGUCCUGUCAACUUUUAAUAGUUCUAAUUAACUAACUACCUGUCCAGAUUGGAUGAUAAAGCCUUUUAACAUUUCAUUUUUUCCCCUCAUGAAAAUGGAUCCCUGUUUCCGGGAUGUGACCUUCAACUUCUUCUGUAAAUACUCAGGCAAAGGAUAUUAAUUCAGGCUCAGUGCAGCAUCAGUCUCAUCUGUCACUGACUUCUCACUCAUUCCCUUUCAUGGCCUCACUGAUUCCACCCCUGGUCAUCUGCUUUUCAUAUGUCAGAUGAAAGAUCUCCAUUGAGUUUCUUCACAUCCUUGCCAUUUUUAAAAAAGCAUUUGCUACUCCAGCGUUUCCUGCCAGUGUUUAUAAUUGCUCCAUUUUGAAUGCAAUGUCAUUGGCAGACCUGCUAAGUAAUAUAAUAACAGUGCAAGAGAGGAAACUGAAACCGUGGCUGGGGCCUGGGUGGCAAACUUCCCUGGAUCUGGCUAUACUGAAGUGGAAGUGGUGCUACUUUUACAGAGUGUGCUGCAAGACCAGAAUCUGGCCUUGGACGUGAAAUAGCUCAUAAAUUACCCAAGGCUUUUAGCACAGCACAGUGGU